rnacentral:rRNA from 1 species
GGUCAAGUGACUAAGUGCAUGUGGUGGAUGCCUUGGCGAUUACAGGCGACGAAGGACGUGAUAGCCUGCGAUAAGCUUCGGGGAGCUGGCAAAUUAGCUUUGAUCCGGAGAUUUCCGAAUGGGGAAACCCGACCGUAAGGUCAUCAUUAUCUGAAUACAUAGGGUAAUGAAGCGAACCGGGUGAACUGAAACAUCUCAGUAGCUCGAGGAAAAG